rnacentral:lncRNA from 1 species
CAGCUCGUGUAAUAUUUAACUCUCUUUCAUGAGCAUCACCUAUAUGUCUCAUUAACGUACCCGUACCCCCUUGCUUGCCUCCGCUUUUAUGCUUAUAUAUUUGUUGACAAAUAUUGCAUUGCACCUCAGUAUCUGAUAUACGUUCAAAAAAUUGUCAUGCAAUACUAGUUGUUUUACGACCUCUUGGGGCACAGGGAGGACGGGGAAGGAGAUUAACCGAUUCAGAUCUAACGUUAGCAUUUUCUACUGCGGGUGUCUCACCAAUAUUUUCAUCAUCUUCGUCUAAAUUAACCGCAUCUACUUCAUUUUCUUCUUCUAUACAGUAAUUUUCCUGAGCUUCUACAUAAUCCGUAUCGUGGGCACCUACACCUAAAGUUACGCCUACUUCUUCCUCAAAAGGUUGACUAAGCCAUGCCGGAGGCACACGGGUAUAUCUACUACUUGAAGUACCUCUACUGCUAGUAAUUCAUCUUUUACUACCACUACCGCUUUCGGGAUAAA